CAAACUAAAGGAUCUAGAGGACAUCUGAUUUCCAAUAGUAUGAUGAAAAUAAAAUUUCAAUAAACGCAGAGGCAGAAGCAUUAUGAAAGUUAGAGACUGUGAAGAACUCAGUGGAAUCUUGUCUCCUGGAGAUGAGAGCGCCAAGCAUUUAUGAACUUGGAGUGACUGCCAGCACCAGCUCAAGCCCUGCAACAUUGCAGCACCAAUGGGAAGCAGUUCCUGGUGUUCUCACGUCCCAUGACUAAAGGACUAAGGACAGUCAAUGGCUUAGUUACGGAUUUUCUAUGUCCUGGUAUCUCCAGUUCCUGCAUUUCAUCUCUCCUAAGCCAGGAAAUAAAGAAAAGGGUAAAUGAUGAUCUAUGCUGCAGAGUUAGUGUGGAAAAUGAAUGAAACACCAGUUGGGAUCAGCAUUAUUCCUGGGAGUUUACCUUCUGAAUUCUAUCCAGACUUCUUAUCACCAAUUAAUCAAAGGUUCUCUAGUUAAUGUUCUAAAUACAUUUUUCCUCAGUCA
rnacentral:lncRNA from 1 species